UGGGGAAUUUUGGACAAUGGGCGCAAGCCUGAUCCAGCCAUGCCGCGUGCGGGAAGAAGGCCUUCGGGUUGUAAACCGCUUUUGUCAGGGAAGAAAUCUUCUGAGUUAAUACCUCGGGAGGAUGACGGUACCUGAAGAAUAAGCACCGGCUAACUACGUGCCAGCAGCCGCGGUAAUACGUAGGGUGCAAGCGUUAAUCGGAAUUACUGGGCGUAAAGCGUGCGCAGGCGGUUUUGUAAGACAGAGGUGAAAUCCCCGGGCUCAACCUGGGAACUGCCUUUGUGACUGCAAGGCUUGAGUGCGGCAGAGGGGGAUGGAAUUCCGCGUGUAGCAGUGAAAUGCGUAGAUAUGCGGAGGAACACCGAUGGCGAAGGCAAUCCCCUGGGCCUGCACUGACGCUCAUGCACGAAAGCGUGGGGAGCAAACAGGAUUAGAUACCCUGGUAGUCCACGCCCUAAACGAUGUCAACUGGUUGUUGGGAAGGUUCCUUCUCAGUAGCGUAGCUAACGCGUGAAGUUGACCGCCUGGGGAGUACGGCCGCAAGGUUGAAACUCAAAUGAAUUGACGGGGUCAUAGCUGUUUCCUG
rnacentral:rRNA from 1 species